CUUUAAAGCAGUAAAGGAAAACCUAAAUGGUUAAUGUAGACACUUGUGUAUGUGGCUUUGCUUCAAACAGAAUAAGGCAAGCAGCAUUGUUAUGAUCCCAAAAGGAUAGUUAACUAAUGUGUGAUAUAAAUAAUUUACCUUUGGAUGAUAUGCAGAGAGGGCCACUCUUAAAUAUACGUGGUUAUGAGGUAAUUUGUUGCUAUGUGAUGCAUGGUCCUGCUCUAGUGUUGUUUUGCCUUCUUUUGCUCGGCUCAUGUUGCGUUUGGCUUGGAGACUACUGAAAUGGAAAUGUGUUGGAGCGAUUAUGUGUUGCAGGUAAAGAAACAAAUUUUCAUUUCUUUUGGCUUACUAUUAAUUGUCACUUGCGUACACAUGAUUAGGUUGGUCACGGAUUUGUGCAGCUAGCUAGCAUUGCUAAUAUUAUGUACUGCUCUAGAAAUAGAUCAAGUGAUACUUUAAUUUUUGUUCAUCUAAUGAUAUUUUGUUAUUUCCUUUUGAAUGCUUAGCCAUGUUGUGUCUCACUCGUGUGAAACUCAAGAUUUGAUAUUAGCACAUAACUCAUGAUUUGACAAACAGUUAAAUUCCUAUAUUUUAGUAUAUCUUGUUAUCUUUCUUAUUUCUGUUCCUGAACUGAACUUCACCCUUUUCUACAAAAUUAUAAGAGCAAUGCUGGUUUGGACAAAUGAUUAUGAUUGCUUAUUUAUUUUCUUGGUGUUAGAUUACUAAUGAAGAGAAAUAUAAUUAUAUGAUUUUACCAUUACUAUCAGAUGAGGAAGUGAUAGGUUCGGAAAAUGACAAUAUUUACCUAUCUCUCAUCUCUACUGUAUUCAUCGCCACUCUGUUCCAUACACUAAGAAAUGUGAAGUCUGCCGGUUGCCACUCGCGCUGCUGCUCUGCUUGGAGGCGUCGUCGUCGACUGGAGGAGCGCCGAAUCAUCGUCCUCGAGUUCGUGCGCUUCAGGAAAAAGAUGGCCCGAGGUGAGACGCCACUCAUCCGCCGUGCAAAGGUAGAGGUCAGUGUGUGUGUGCAACAGCUCUAGAGAGACCAACGUCGAGGUACCCACUGCUCCUGUUGAUGAUAGCCUGUCGUAGCACACACAUAUGGCAUUGAAGUAGGCAGAGUAGUUGUGUCACUUACUGAUGCUCUUAUGGUACACAGUACACUAUUAAGGUGUUGGGCCGAGAAACAGGAAGAGUAAUCCUAUUCCAAGUAAAUGAUGCCCAGAGGUGGAGGAAUUUGGAUGAUCUGUAGUCAAAGGAUACCAUCAAGCAAGAGGACGCACAAGGAGGGUCGCCCCGGAGUAGAGGUAGAGGACGUUGCCAGUUGCAUCUCUCUCUGACCUGAAGCCCAC